rnacentral:rRNA from 1 species
AUGCAAGAUGACAAACCAGAGGCAACCAUGGACUCCAUGAGGCAUGUUGUAUUGACCAAGAACUAUGGUGAACUAAUAGAUGAAGCAUGCAAGAGUGAUGAGACAGCAAGGGUGGCAGAAAAGCACAGGAAGGCCCUGAAAAGAGAGCUUGAUGAGAUCAAGAAGAGGAAGGUUGAAGAAGCCUUACACAGGUUCCCCCGCACCUCAAGUGUGCCUUCAUCCAUGGGUCUAUCCUAUGAAAACUCGGAGGUAGGGUCUGGAACAGCAAGCACACAAACUCAGGUCAGGAACCCGUCCCGUUCCAUCAUAAAAGGGCAUCCAAAAGAGGUGAGAUACAAAUCUGGGAUGGAAAUUCAAGCAAAGCACAAGAAAGCAAAGAAAGGGACAGGCAAUCCGUAA